GUGCUUGCUUAGGCAGCACGUAUACUAAAGUUGAAGUGAUACAGGGAAGAUUAGCAUGGCCCCUCUGCAAGGAUGACACUCAAAUUCAUGAAGCAUUCCAUAUUUUG
ensembl:snRNA U6 U6 spliceosomal RNA